GAUGAACGCUGGCGGCGUGCCUAAUACAUGCAAGUCGAGCGAACAGACGAGGAGCUUGCUCCUCUGUCGUUAGCGGCGGACGGGUGAGUAACACGUGGAUAACCUACCUAUAAGACUGGGAUAACUUCGGGAAACCGGAGCUAAUACCGGAUAAUAUAUUGAACCGCAUGGUUCAAUAGUGAAAGACGGUUUUGCUGUAACUUAUAGAUGGAUCCGCGCCGCAUUAGCUAGUUGGUAAGGUAACGGCUUACCAAGGCGACGAUGCGUAGCCGACCUGAGAGGGUGGUCGGCCACACUAGAACUGAAACGCGGUACAGACUCCUACGGUAGGCAGCGGAAGGGAAUCUUCCGCAAUGGGCGGAAGCCUGACGGGGCAACGCCGCGUGGGUGAUGAAGGUCUUCGGAUCGUAUAGCUCUGUUAUUAGGGAAGAACAAAUGUGUAAGUUACUAUGCACGUCUUGACGGUACCUGAUCAGAAAGCCACGGCUAACUACGUG
rnacentral:rRNA from 1 species